CAGCAGCCACGGUAAUACGAAGGGUGCAAGCGUUACUCGGAAUGACUGGGCGUAAAGGGCGCGUAGGCGGUUUGUACAGUUGGAUGUGAAAUUCCUGGGCUUAACCUGGGGGCUGCAUUCAAUACGUGCAGGCUUGAGUGUGGAAGAGGGUUGUGGAAUUCCCAGUGUAGAGGUGAAAUUCGUAGAUAUUGGGAAGAACACCGGUGGCGAAGGCGGCAACCUGGUCCAUUACUGACGCUGAGGCGCGAAAGCGUGGGGAGCAAACAGGAUUAGAUACCCCAGUAGUCCCUGUCUCUUAUAC
rnacentral:rRNA from 1 species